GGCAUCGAAAAUGCCAAGCUAUAAAAUGACCACAAACUAUUAGUUUGAUAUUUCAUUUUGUUUAAUCAAUGACCAAAAAUGCCUAAAGUUCUUCGAGCAUUUUAGGGUAAUACAAACCCUAGAACAUUCAUUGUAUCAAAUUUGCUUUGUUGUUGCUGCUCUUGUAGUGCCCCCAUGAGGAUCUUGAGGACGCUAACUAAAUCAUUUUUUUUGAAGAAAACUUGCAGGUCGACAUGCUUCUUGAAGCUCGAUCUGGGAUUAUGAGCAAAGGAGCGAGGAGGACUCAAGUGGCUCGAAGCAACAUCAACCUAAGUCAACACAACGAACCAUUCAUUCAGGCAAUGACUGGUUACUUUCCUUCUAUACGCAUUCAUUUCUUUUCUUUACUUAUUCAUGUAUUUUUUUUUCAUAAUUUGUAUUGAAUAAGCAAUGGUUAGUCUCACAGCUUGUGUGAGACAAGAUGUACAUUUUUCCAUUCAAUAAAGAUACUUUUGUUGAAAAGA